AGCACUUACCAGUAUUAGAGGCAUUGCCUGCCCAGUGAGUCACGACUUUAACGGCCGCGGUAUCCUGACCGUGCAAAGGUAGCAUAAUCACUUGUCUCUUAAUUGGGGACUAGUAUGAAUGGCACCACGAGGGUUCAACUGUCUCUUACUCCCAAUCAGUGAAAUUGACCUUCCCGUGCAGAGGCGGGGAUAAUUAUACAAGACGAGAAGACCCUGUGGAGCUUAAGUCGUAUAACUCAACAAAUACUAAUAUUUAACCUAUUGGAAUAACAUGUAUAAUCUAUGAGUUAUAGUCUUUGGUUGGGGUGACCUCGGAGCAUAAAAGAACCUCCGAAUGAAUAAAACCAAGAUUAACAAAUCUAAGUGUAAUAUUACCAGUAAUUGACCCAUAUUUUGAUCAACGGAACAAGUUACCCCAGGGAUAACAGCGCAAUCCUAUUUGAGAGCCCAUAUCGAAAACAGGGUUUACGACCUCGAUGUUGGAUCAGGACAUCCAAAUGGUGCAACCGCUAUUAAAGGUUCGUUUGUUCAACGAUUAAAGUCCUACGUGAUCUGAGUUCAGACCGGAGAAAUCCAGGUCGGUUUCUAUCUGUAAAUUCAUUUCUCCCAGUACGAAAGGACAAGAGAAAUAGGGCCAAUAUCCAUAAUAAGCCCUAGAAUUAAUAUAUGAAUUUAUCUAAAUAUACUAAAUCAACCCAUAUACCCCCAAGAACAGGGCUAUUAAGAUGGCAGAGCCGG
rnacentral:ncRNA from 1 species